rnacentral:rRNA from 1 species
UACGGGGGGGGCAAGCGUUGUUCGGAAUUACUGGGCGUAAAGGGCUCGUAGGCGGCCCACUAAGUCAGACGUGAAAUCCCUCGGCUUAACCGGGGAACUGCGUCUGAUACUGGAUGGCUUGAGUUUGGGAGAGGGAUGCGGAAUUCCAGGUGUAGCGGUGAAAUGCGUAGAUAUCUGGAGGAACACCGGUGGCGAAGGCGGCAUCCUGGGCCAGCACUGACGCUGAGUGAGCGAAAGCCAGGGGAGCAAACGGG